rnacentral:rRNA from 1 species
UUGACCUCGGAUCAGGUAGGGAUACCCGCUGAACUUAAGCAUAUCAAAGUC